rnacentral:rRNA from 1 species
UACGUAGGGUGCGAGCGUUAAUCGGAAUUACUGGGCGUAAAGUGUGCGCAGGCGGCCGCGCAAGUCGAGUGUGAAAGCCCCGGGCUUAACUUGGGAAUUGCGCUCGAAACUACGUGGCUGGAGUGUGGCAGAGGAAGGUGGAAUUCCACGUGUAGCGGUGAAAUGCGUAGAGAUGCGGAGGAACACCGAUGGCGAAGGCAGCCCCCUGGGCUGACACUGACGCUCAGGCACGAAAGCGUGGGGAGCAAACAGG